CCUACGGGGGGCAGCAGUGGGGAAUAUUGGACAAUGGGCGAAAGCCUGAUCCAGCCAUGCCGCGUGUGUGAAGAAGGCCUUCGGGUUGUAAAGCACUUUCAGUGGGGAAGAAAGCCUUGGGGCUAAUACCCUCGAGGAAGGACAUCACCACAGAAGAAGCACCGGCUAACUCCGUGCCAGCAGCCGCGGUAAUACGGAGGGUGCGAGCGUUAAUCGGAAUUACUGGGCGUAAAGCGCGCGUAGGCGGUCUGAUAAGCCGGUUGUGAAAGCCCCGGGCUCAACCUGGGAACGGCAUCCGGAACUGUCAGGCUAGAGUGCAGGAGAGGAAGGUAGAAUUCCCGGUGUAGCGGUGAAAUGCGUAGAGAUCGGGAGGAAUACCAGUGGCGAAGGCGGCCUUCUGGACUGACACUGACGCUGAGGUGCGAAAGCGUGGGUAGCAAACAGGAUUAGAUACCCCAGUAGUC
rnacentral:rRNA from 1 species